UACGUAGGGUGCAAGCGUUGUCCGGCAUUAUUGGGCGUAAAGAGCUCGUAGGCGGUCUGUCGCGUCUGCUGUGAAAACUCAGGGCUUAACCCUGAGCUUGCAGUGGGUACGGGCAGACUAGAGUGCGGUAGGGGAGACUGGAAUUCCUGGUGUAGCGGUGAAAUACGCAGAUAUCAGGAGGAACACCGGUGGCGAAGGCGGGUCUCUGGGCCGUAACUGACGCUGAGGAGCGAAAGCAUGGGGAGCGAACAGG
rnacentral:rRNA from 1 species